CUGUUAUUGUUCUCAAUGAUUAUCGAGCAUAUGCAUUACCAUGUGGCUUCAAGCGUGUCAGUGUGCUCUUGCUCAUAAUUUUUACUAUAUCUUGUUACUAAAAUUGCAAGUUAAUUGCAAAUUACUCAGAGCUUGGAUUGUCUCCUCCAGUUGGUUAAAGGAAAGCUACCGGGAAGGCAGAUUUGUUGACGAGUUGCCUUACAUACUAAAUGAUGAUGACUACAUAUCGAAGUAUCGAGCCAGCCUAAAAGCUGCAGUUCUCAAGGCAAAAGCAUGUUUUUGAGCUUUAUUUGAAGGGUAUGAUGUUUGCAUAUCAGCUCACGCUCAACCACCACCUAAAACUCUAUCCCUGAUAGUCAAGUCAGCCGGUGGAAAUGUGAUUCAUGAGCUAGAUAAAGUAAACAAUGUAUGAAAGACGAUCUUUGUGGCUUGUGAGGAAGACGUGGAGGAAGCCUUGGUGGCCGUAGAAAAAGGGAUAUGGACUUUCAACGUUGAAUGGCUAAUGGCAUGUAUAAUGAGACAAGAAGUAGACUUGGAGGCCCUUCAAUUUGCUGAGUCCCUAUGAGAAACAAGGUCACCCUAACUUUCAGUUUUGAACAAGCAGCAGCCAGCCAUUUCGUCCUUGUGUAAAUCCACUCUUUUCUCAACUCACUCUAAUUUGGUACAUAAACAAACUCUGAUCGCUCCAUCUCUAUAUUCAUCAGUACAUAAAAGACGAUAAGUUUAUUCAUGGAGAAAGUUGGAUGUAAGUAUGUUUUAGGAAUGGUCCUUCAUUUAGUAA